rnacentral:pre_miRNA from 1 species
CUGCUACUUCCUCCGUCCGGAAAUACUUGUCAUCAAAAUGGAUAAAAAGGGACAUUUUGAUGACAAGUAUUUCCGGACGGAGGGAGUACUAA